CUCUCCUGUUCUUCAAGGAGCCUCCACGCAGCCUGGCUGCUAUUGGGCACAGAAGAUUGAAUCAGGGGAGAAGAGGCUGACAAUGGGGUGGAUUUGUUUCAUUAAUUCACCAAAUAUUUUUUGAGAGCCUACUAUGUAUGAGGCCUCUGUACCAUCUCACCCUACAGCUUCUUGCUCCCAAAGAGCUUGGAAAAUGACCUAAAAGACUCGUGUACCACUGUAUAAGUAAAUGGCCCGUUUCCCUCCCGAGUGUGUGCAACCAGGAAGAAAGGCUGGGAGAUGGUCAACAAUGGAUAUUAAGCUCUAGCUGUUUGAGAAGAUUUUUC